rnacentral:rRNA from 1 species
AUACGGAGGGGGCUAGCGUUGUUCGGAAUUACUGGGCGUAAAGGGCGCGUAGGCGGAUCGUCAAGUCAGAGGUGAAAGCCCUGGGCUCAACCUGGGAACUGCCUUUGAAACUAACGGUCUAGAGUCCGAGAGAGGAUGGCGGAAUUCCCAGUGUAGAGGUGAAAUUCGUAGAUAUUGGGAAGAACACCAGUGGCGAAGGCGGCCAUCUGGCUCGGUACUGACGCUGAGGCGCGAAGGCGUGGGGAGCAAACAGGAUUAGAAACCCUAGUAGUCC